UUCUACUUACCUUCUUUUCCACGUGUUUCCUUGUUGUUCUUGCUUGGGUCAUUUAGCUACUACACUAAUAGUCUGGUAGAAACCAUUUGCUUAAUUGGUAACUUGCUCAUGAUUUUGUGAUCUUCUAGUUCUUUUUAGCUAGGUUUGUUAGUUAUCGAUUUGUUUGGUCUUAGCAUGUUAACUCAAAAAGGAUUUAACAGUAAUUAAUUUUGUGCUUAUUAAUUAGAUUAGCAACUAUUAAUUUUCAAUCUUCUUUUACUUUCAUUUUUCAAUUGUUUGAUUGAUUGCCUAAGCUUUGUUUUAUUUAAGUCAUUAUGUCCAUGCCUUGUUUGUUUAUUGAUUGAAGUGAUUAUUUAUUUUCUGAGAUUGGUUGGUCUUAAUCUGUAUUAGCAAUUGAUUUAAGUGUGAAAAUUUCAGAAAUUUUAAGGGAGAAUUUAGAAAAUGUUUAAAUGGAGGAUUGGUUAUUAACAGGAACCUAAAGGGGGUUAAUUGGAAAAGUUUAGGGAAUCUGUUUGUUUGCUGGUUUAGGAAGCUUAUAAGAAAAUAUAGAGAGGACUGAUUUACAAUAAAAAGAAAGGUUGGGGUAAGGAUGUAAAAAUAGAAAGCAUAAAGGGAUGGAAAAUAAGAAGAAGCUUCUAGAUGAUGGACAACUAUCCAAAUUUGUUAAGGAAAAGAUGCUGAAAAUUAGAUAAACAUCUGGAAUAAAGGACAGUUGUACAAAAAAUUGGUUAAAAGAUGCUUUUGUUCCCUUUUUUACACCUGACAUAUUCUCUUUGAUAUUUCCUCAUUUUUUUCUAUAUAGAGAGACACUCACUCACACAUAAAGGGCGAUACUUUUCCCUUUCACUCUCCGAUCCUCCCCUGAAAGCAAAAGUUUAGAACAAAUUCUGUGAGUCAAAUUGAAUUCCAUAUCUGGAAAACUAAAGAAAAUUCAAGAGUUAUUUUUCUAAGAUUUUGUCGUUUCUCUUCACUGAUUUCUGAUUUUCUCAAGUUAAUUCUGGCCUAAAAUUGAGGCUUUCUUCUAGGACUUACUGAUGUUAGUUGCUGUGUGUUGAUUUUUCAUCAAGCUGUGGUGGAAUCUUUUGUCUAGCUGUUUCUCAAAUUCAGAGAUUUAUUUUCUUCUUCUUUUGUUGCUGCUAAGUGUAGGGUGUGUUGAUACUACUGUCUAAGACAUGGUCGAGAUUCAUUUAAGCAGUAAGAAUAUGCUGGAAACAAUAUGUUUCUUCAUUUGAAUGUUGGCUCAUAAAAAUUAAUGGUAUAAUCUUGAUUUGAUAUUAGCAUGUGGAAACAAAGGCUAGUCAGUCAUUGGAUUUGAUCACCGGUUGAUCAAAUCCAUUACUGGAUAAAGUUUGAGCCAAAUCAUGCAGUAAUGAAGUGCUGGUGAUUCAGGUUGAUUAAAUCAACAAGCCAAGGCGAGGCAGGAAUGGGAGCAUAACUUUCACGUUAAUGAGACUGUGGGAUGUAGUUUUAUAGCAGUUCAUCAAGUGCAGUAAAUUCAAUCAGUUAGGAUUAUGUAAUUUUGUUCUUAUUAUAGUUGUAAUCUAAUUGAUAGGCCAUUUAGUUGUAAUCUCAGCUUUCCUUUAUAUGAGUAAUUCAUCUUUUAAUUCCUGAAUACUUAUUUGAUAAAAAAUGGUUCAAAUUAGUAUUA